UUGUAUUAUGGUGAGAAAUAAAUACAUUUAUUAUGUUGUGGGUUAUUUUGACCCGUAUUGUUUAAAUCCAGUCAAAACAGUCAAAAAUGAAAUUAAACCAAUCAGAACUUUAUUUUAGAUUAUACAAACAUUUUGAAGAGAUGAGAAGAAGAGAUAUACAAUUCAAACACUAUAUCAAAGAACUCAAAAUUAAAUUAUU